UCGUCCCAAGGUACGAUUCUUCUUUAAUUUUUCCUUUAAUUCUUCUUCUUCUUCCUCUUUAAUAAUUCAAAAUCGAUUUAGGGUUAAUUGCUCAUUUCAAUCUCGGCGUUUUUGGGGAAAUUAAUCAAUAGUGAACAGAUCUAUGGAUUUAUGCCGUGUACUAAGAGGGUGCUUGUAAACGUGUUUCUGAGUUUGAUUUAUGGAUUUAUCGUGUACUAAGACAUCACUCGGACUCUCUGGGAAGACCUAUCAACUCAGAAAAGCCGUGUCUCCUUGCACAGUAAAUGAUUCAUUGUUAAAGGUAAACCAUAAAACUCAGUAUUAAAAUUCCAGAAACCAUCCAUGGAUCCAAAGGAGACAACUUGCUUUUGCCAAGCACAAGCAUGUUAUAUCAGGAAUCUUAAGUGAACUUGAAAGAAUAUGAUUUGGGAAGGCUUCUUGAUGAUGAAAGUCAGCCUGAUGAACAUGUCACUCCAAAUUUUCAGGUGCGUCUAAGAAUGUUUGUUCAAACCAAGAAGAAAGAUGAUGCAUUUUGAUAAACACCCAAGGCACGAUGUUGACAAGUCUUUAUUUCUCGCUAGAACUUUUGUUUGGAAAA